rnacentral:rRNA from 1 species
GUAAUCUACAUAUUGGUUUAAUUCAAAUAUCACGAAACCAGUUGAUCUAAUUUUUUUAACCUGUUGGAGUAAAUAUUUUAACGUGGUAAAGUUAAUUGAUUAGGGAAAAUUAGGGGUGACAGGCCAUCCAAAAUUGGGGAUAUCUUGAUAUUAAGGAAAUAUAUUAAGUAUAAAAACAGACUAAAAAUGGUGAGGUUUUAAGUUAUUAUAAAUAUUGUUACUCUAUAGAUUGGAUUUUGUAAAAGAUACCAGUUGAAUAUAUGUAAUAUAAAUCACUUUCAGUUUAUAAGUUAUUACUUGAUUAUAUUAUAUAAUAUAUAAUUUAAUAUAGAAAAUGAUUAUAUUAGUAUUGUUAGGAAAUUACUAUAAGGAACUCGGCAAAACUAAACCUCGUCUGUUUAUCAAAAACAUAGUCCCUAGAUUUAAUUAGGGGUAAAACCUGCUCAAUGAAGCUUUUUAAAUGGCCGCAGUACCUUGACUGUGCAAAGGUAGCAUAAUCAGUUGGCUUAUAAUUGAAGUCUGGUAUGAAUGGGAAUUUGGGGUUUAACUGUCUUAUAUUAAUUUGGCAGAAUUUACUAAAUAAGUGAAAAUUCUUAUAUAUAGAAAAAAGACGAGAAGACCCUAGAAAUUUUUAUAAAUAUUACAAUUUAUUUUUGUUGGGGCGACAAGGUAACAAAAAACUUACCUGAGCUAAUAGGAAAUUUUUUAGUGGAGCAAACAAAUUACUCUAGGGAUAACAGCAUAAUAUUAUAAAGAUUGUGACCUCGAUGUUGGACUAGGGAAUAUAUUACUUAGAAGGUAGUAUAAUAGGCUCUGUUCGAGCUAAAGACCCUACGUGAUCUGAGUCAAGACCGG